CACUGAUGUCUUAUGAUAAAUAUAUAUUAGUUGUUAUGAAAUAACAAACUCUGGGUCUUGCUAUAAAGCACCAAGUGAUCCCUCCUCUCGGAGAGAAGCGAUCUCUGAAGGAAGCUGCUCCGACGACGCUUUAGCGCGGACGGACUCUGCCUGGAGACACUGACAGCUAAUCGGAACCGGCGGCCGACGGAGACGUAUGGACGUGGCUGGAGAGCUGCCCCAGUGCAGGAUGGGAGACAGGACGGUGGACAACAUGUGCUUCAUGAUCUCAUGCACCAACUGGUACUGAACUGGAGCUGAGACCACAAUAGCAGAGGCUGAGGUAGCGGCUGAGAGAAACGUGCAAAUUGAAAGAGAAAAAUGGAGGAAGCGAUUCCAAUAAAGAGUAGAAGCACUAAAACA
rnacentral:lncRNA from 1 species